rfam:Soil-borne cereal mosaic virus RNA1 complete genome
UCUGUUUUUCGAACAGAUGUAAAUCGAAG